rnacentral:telomerase_RNA from 1 species
AACAGAGGCGUCAGGGUGUGGAGAAAUGAAACUCGUAACCUAACCUAUCUUUCCCUACUGGGAGCUCUCGCUGGUAGGGGUACCUGUAAAGGUAUACUUAACAGAGAGUUAAAUUUGCCCUCGACGCCUUUAAUUUUUU